UGGGGAAUCUUGCGCAAUGGGCGAAAGCCUGACGCAGCGACGCCGCGUGCGGGAAGAAGGCCUUCGGGUUGUAAACCGCUUUCAGGAGGGACGAAGCCACUCGGGUGAAUAGCCCAGAGGGUGACGGUACCUCCAGAAGAAGCCCCGGCUAACUACGUGCCAGCAGCCGCGGUAAUACGUAGGGGGCAAGCGUUGUCCGGAUUCAUUGGGCGUAAAGAGCGUGUAGGCGGCCAGGUAGGUCGGUUGUGAAAACUGGAGGCUCAACCUUCAGAGGUCGACCGAAACCAUCUGGCUAGAGUCCGGGAGAGGAGAGUGGAAUUCCUGGUGUAGCGGUGAAAUGCGCAGAUAUCAGGAAGAACACCCGUGGCGAAAGCGGCUCUCUGGAACGGUACUGACGCUGAGACGCGAAAGCGUGGGGAGCGAACAGG
rnacentral:rRNA from 1 species